rnacentral:snRNA from 1 species
AUUGGUUCUCAGCCUUUUGGCUAAAAUUACGUACAGUAUCUGUUCUUAUCAGAUUAAUAUCUGAUACACCCUCUAUCUGAGGAUUGAAUGAAUUUUUUGGUGCAUGGAGAUGGAAUAGGAGCUUGCUGUGUCCACUCCAUGCAUCAUCCUGGUACAGUAGUACCUCUAGGAAUGAUGCACCUCUG